rnacentral:rRNA from 1 species
GAUGAACGCUGGCGGCGUGCCUAAUACAUGCAAGUCGAGCGAACGGACGAGAAGCUUGCUUCUCUGAUGUUAGCGGCGGACGGGUGAGUAACACGUGGAUAACCUACCUAUAAGACUGGGAUAACUUCGGGAAACCGGAGCUAAUACCGGAUAAUAUUUUGAACCGCAUGGUUCAAAAGUGAAAGACGGUCUUGCUGUCACUUAUAGAUGGAUCCGCGCUGCAUUAGCUAGUUGGUAAGGUAACGGCUUACCAAGGCAACGAUGCAUAGCCGACCCGAGAGGGUGAUCGGCCACACUGGAACUGAGACACGGUCCAGACUCCUACGGGAGGCAGCAGUAGGGAAUCUUCCGCAAUGGGCGAAAGCCUGACGGAGCAACGCCGCGUGAGUGAUAAAGGUCUUCGGAUCGUAAAACUCUGUUAUUAGGGAAGAACAUAUGUGUAAGUAACUGUGCACAUCUUGACGGUACCUAAUCAGAAAGCCACGGCUAACUACGUG